UACGAAGGGGGCUAGCGUUGUUCGGAAUUACUGGGCGUAAAGGGCGCGUAGGCGGUUUGAUAAGUCAGAAGUGAAAGCCCUGGGCUUAACCCGGGAACUGCUUUUGAGACUAUCUUACUUGAAUUCGGGAGAGGUAAGUGGAAUUCCCAGUGUAGAGGUGAAAUUCGUAGAUAUUGGGAAGAACACCCGUGGCGAAGGCGGCUUACUGGACCGACAUUGACGCUGAGGCGCGAAAGCGUGGGGAGCAAACAGG
rnacentral:rRNA from 1 species